CAGUUACAAUUACCUGGAAAAUAUUUUACAUUUAUCCCACUUCAAUUAUACAGUACUGUAACUAUUUGCGAUAAAUCUGGUUGUCGCGAUAAAUCCGGCUAGAAAAUUGCUCGUAUUCGACUCGAGUGUAAAAUUGCUGUCAAGACUUUCGAACGAGUACAGCUACUUUUAACAUAAAAUUUACUUCUAAUCGGCCACAACUGGAUUCGUUCGAACGACGAUUAUCACAGGAUAAAGAUACCUUAAAUGGAUCAUUAACGUCGAUAUCGAGAAAUCAAUGAAGGAUUACACGAUAGAUCGCUCAAAUUCCCGUCGAUCGUUGCGUCACACACGGUCAUCAAUACGUCGAAAAUAUAAUUAUUCUCGCGGUACCGCUUGCCAUAUGUUGCUUUUAACAACGUACCCUGUUCGAGCAUAAUCUCUCGAGGAAGUGGUUUUUAGAGUCGAAAGGUGCUUCUGCUUGAUCUUUCACCUUCUAUCUAUCCGUUGAAAUUCUGUUAGAGAGAAUAGAAGAAUGUAAAUAUUAUCGGUUUAAAUGCUUAAAGGAUUAGGAAAGGGGCUAAUUUAAUUUAUGAACAUUAUGAAAUUGAGAAGAACAAUCGAUAAAUAUUUAACGUAUUUAGAAAUUCUUUAACGAAGGAUAUUUAAGGAUAAUAUAUAGAUUUCACGGUUCGUGGCUUCUUGACAUCACGCUCUUCUCCCUUUAUUUUGAACUCAUUUGGCUACA